GGACGUGAUCAAUCGGUAAAGGAAACGAUUCAACAGAUCGAAGAAUACAUUAAACAGCGCAAUGGAAACUGCAUUCAUGCAAACGAGUUGAAAGAUAUUGCGUUAAUAUUACAAAAUGCGAUUCUAGGCGAUUACACUGGAAUUCAAAGGGACGUGUCAUUUACAGAAGGAGAGGUAAACAGGACUACACAAAGGCAGACAAGUACGGCGUGUACACUGCUGUAAACUUUGCUUAUCAUACGAUAAUCCCAUGGGCAAAUGUCGAUGAAUUAAAUGAUCAGUGACGAUUUUUCACUUUUUUAUCCAGCAGAGCAAAUACAUUAAGAUUGUUUGAAAACACUUAAACGUGUCAGAAGAAUAAAGGAAAAACAUGCCAAAAUUUACAGACUGUGAAAGGUUAUAUAAAUGUUUGUGAUAUUUGUACUGUGAUAUAUAUGUAUAUUUAUUUGUUUGAAAAAUACUUGAGUUUCUGAAUUAAUGAUUUCCAUUGCGUCAUGUUUUUUUUUAAGUAAGAUAACUGUCAUUUCCGAUUGUUAGUAUUGUCAAGCGACUGCAAUCCAUUUUGAUCGAAAAAAAGAGUAAAUAAAUUGAAAAUCACUUUUUACAAAACAUAAUAUGAUUCAAUACAUGUC